CUUCCCCCCUCCCCGCCCGCCGGGUGACGGCCGCAGCGCCGAGCGGCCAAUGGAGGGUGGGGCGGGGCGAGAACGCGGGGAGCGUUGCUGGACGGGCUGUGGAUCCGCGCUGCACCACCCAAACCCAAACGCGGUGUCUGAGGUCACUGUCCCAGCGCUCCCUGUGUGGAGCUGUAUGGCCAAGCGGCCUCCCCUCAGCCUGCUCUGCUCUGCGCCCAAGCAAACCCAGGGAUAUCUGCUGCUCCUCACACCCAUCUCCCUCCAUACCUUUCACCAUCUUGGACACGCUGUGACUGUUUUAUGUCUGUCCAUUGCGGCAUCCAAACAGCACACAGUAGAGUGCGGUGGUGACUGAUGGUGAUGGUGGCAGUGAUUGUGGUCCUCAGGCUUGCCUGCACCUCCACACUGGGCUGUCCCCUCAGGAGAUGGCACCUGCCCCUGUGUGGUGUGUCCUGAAGGUCAAAGGAUGGGUAGUCCUCCAUAGAAUCCUUGAAUCAUUAAGGUUGGAUAAGACCUCUAAGAUCAUCAAGUCCAACCAUCAUGCUAUUACCACCAUGCCCGCUAAACCACGGCCCUCAGUGCCACACCUACACGCAUCUGAAAUGGCCGUGCAAGGAGAUCCUGACAAAGCCAGGGCAGAUCAUGUGCUCAAGGCUGCGGGGUGCCCAGGUGGCUCUGAGCAUCUGUUACGUUUCCACACUGAGAACUUGAACAGCUGCUGCCCCAGCCAGUGCCAAAGCCUGGGCCAGGGUGCACCCAGCCCAGCGCAGUGUCAGUGAAAUGCAGCUAAGUGCAGGUCCACCCUCUGCAAGGGUCUGGCUGAGCAGAGACGGUUGUCUAGAUGUGUACUUGAUACCCUGUCUAGCACUAGAAAAUGUCUGUGUAGCUGCAGGGUUUCUUUUUUCAGACGUCAUUUCUCCAGGACGCAUUGGGACUAGUGUGUUGGUACAGUAAGAAUAACCGUGUUUCUUGUUUAUUUAGCUGGCCUCACUGGAGCCAGCAGGGCUUCUUUUUCACACAAGGCAUGCCCUGCUUGCAGUUGGAAAGAGCACAGGACCUGGUGCCUUCCUGAGCGAUGACACUGAGGAUUUAAGAAUAUCUUUGCAGUUGCUGUAGCAGUGAAGGGUGGAAUGAUGGUCUGCAUUCAACUUGGUUGUACUUAAUCAGCGUGUUCAGUGUAACAAAUGUCAGUAAAACAUAUGGAAAGAAACAGGUCUUUUGUAUAUCAUAAAGUGAAAAAUCAACCUAGGAUAUAGUUAUUCCUUCUAAUCUCUUAUCAAUUCCUGGUGUGCAAAGAGUUAGGAUAGCUGAGCACACUGCGUAGGGCAACUUUGGACAAGAUACUUGGCUUUGUGGUGGAUAAAGUGUUACUGCCACUGCUGGAUGGGGCAGAAAAGCCAAAUAUUUUCCUGUUAAUAGCAACCAACUUUGGAUGAGCCCAUGUCUGCCUCCUGGAUUUUACUGCUGGACUGUCAUAUACAUGUUCUCUGUACGUGGCAUUGUAAAUGUUCAGACUCUAUUUUUGUUGUAUUGCAAUAGUAUAUUGAAGCAACUAUUUUUUUUUUAAAGGGGAAGGUAAAUUAAAAUAUCAAUAAAUAGAAAAAAUCUUUCAUUUCAAAGAUGUCACUUUACUGUUCACUGCUUCUAGAUUGACUAUAAUGUUGCUGUCAUCUGUAUAAACACUGCUGGUUUGGCUUUGUCAUAGUGAAAUGGAACACAUGGAUCGCUCUGCCACAUAUGCCAACAAAGUGUGGACGUGCCCAUGAAUUCAGAGUUUCAGUUUGCAUCUUGGAAGAAUAUGCCUUUUCCAUCUUCCUGCCUCACCACGCAUACCAGUGUCAGCGUACAUAGUUCUGUUUCUUACUCUUGGAAGAGAACUUUAUUGUCAGCAUUUUAUGAUUUCCUCUGCAGAAACAUUUGAUUUGUUCCAGGAAAUCACAUGUAGAUACAAUGCUUCCCUUCACAGCAACCAGAUACAUGUUUUGAAUUGACACAGGCAGUUUCUCCAUACUCCUGGACUGCUAUGCACUGCUUUCAGCAACUCUGAGGACUAGAACUCAUUCCCUGUGAAAUGUUCUUUCCUGAUGAAUCUUCAAGAUUUACCAGCAGGACUGCAGAUCUGACAUAAAACAACCCAUCUUUUGCAGUGGUGUGAAUUCUCUGGAACGUUCACUGGAGCCUCUAUGUUGCAUGAUGCUUCCUUGGAGAUCACUGUACCUCCAUAGCAAGGUGGAUGCAGAAUUCUAUAGUGUGAUUUUGUGAAGUCGUGUGUAUCCUUUCUCCGAUCUAGUUCACUUCUCCUCCAUACUGUGGCAUACUUCAUCUCCAGUGCUGAGUUGGUUGGGAUAGGAGCUGCAGAGGCCCUCUGAAGUUCAUUGUGCUGCAGAAGACUCCUCGUAGAGCUGGAGCGGUUUUGUCUUCUGUAUUUGGAUCUGAAGACAGUCUUGUUCUCACUUAGCACAAAAUAGACACAGAUGAUGAGACUGUAACAUAUAACACACAGAAGAAUUUCUUCUAGCUCUCUUCAACAGAAUCUGACCUCUGCAACCUACAACAGUACGUUGUUUCCAAAGAUGGAGAAAUGGAUAGAGCAAAUUACUGGAAGGAAACCUAUUGCAUGUGAAGCCAUUUCUGUUCAUAAAGUUGCUAAACCUC